ACUGCGUCGGGGCCGCCUUGGCGCGGAUGGCGCUGAACGCGCUGUUCGCCGAGAUCGCCGGCUCGGUGGAGCGAUUCGACCUCGCCGGCCCGGUG
rnacentral:tRNA from 1 species